rnacentral:rRNA from 1 species
UACGUAGGUGGCAAGCGUUGUCCGGAUUUACUGGGCGUAAAGAGCGCGCAGGCGGUCGGCCAAGUCGAGUGUGAAAGCCCCCCGGCUCAACUGGGGAGGGUCAUUCGAUACUGGUCGACUCGAAGGCAGGAGAGGGAAGUGGAAUUCCCGGUGUAGUGGUGAAAUGCGUAGAUAGUCGGGAGGAACACCAGUGGCGAAGGCGACUUCCUGGCCUGUUCUUGACGCUGAGGCGCGAAAAGCUAGGGUAGCAAACGGGG